UACGAAGGGUGCAAACGUUGCUCGGAAUUAUUGGGCGUAAAGCGCACGUAGGCGGCUUAGCAAGUUGGAUGUGAAAUCCCUCGGCUCAACCAAGGAAGUGCAUCCAAAGCUGCUGAGCUUGAGUACUUAAGAGGAUCGCGGAAUUCCCGGUGUAGAGGUGAAAUUCGUAGAUAUCGGGAGGAACACCAGUGGCGAAGGCGGCGAUCUGGGAAGAUACUGACGCUGAGGUGCGAAAGCGUGGGGAGCAAACAGG
rnacentral:rRNA from 1 species